rnacentral:lncRNA from 1 species
ACUAAAGAAUUAUUGAAACUGAUUCCCAGUAUCAGUCAUAAAUGUAAACUGUUUUAGAAAUAAACAACUUUUCCUUAAAAUUCAUGAUAAGGGAUGAGCUUGUGAAGAUGGCAAUUAUUAAAAAAUAGUUUUUUCAGUGUCCUAGGUGAAAAUGAGCAAUUAUCGAGCUAUAAAAAGCUAUGAAACAUGGGACAGAGAAAGCCAGAUUUUCUUUUCUCCAUCUGUAUAAGGGAGGUAUAAGUAAUUAUUUCUGACUUAUUUAGCAAAUUAUAAUUACUUCAAAAAACAACGUAUCAAAAGCAAAAUUAAUUAUACUUUUUGGAUUUAAUUUUAAUUUUAAUUUUAAUUUUUUGUAGAGAUAGAGUCUUGCUAUGUCACUAUGUUGCCCAGGCUGGUAUUGAACUCCUGAGCUCAAGGGAUCCUCCUGACUCAAUCUCUCAACUGGCUGAGACUAAAGACGCAUGCCAGCACACCCAGCCAACAUUAAUUCUGUUUUGAUGAUUAAGAUGCAUUGUGUAAGACUGUGAGUGUAAUUUGUAAAUUGACCUUAGAAAUAUCUAAGUACAACUUCUAGCUUUAUUGCUUAAUAGCAAUGUGAUGAGAAUCAAUUUCCUCAUUUAUAAGGGGCAAGGAAUAAUAUCUACAUUUUGUAACUUCUAAGAGUGUAACACAUACACAGAAUAUAUACAUGGAAAGAGAGAGAGAAGGAAAGAGAGAGAGAGAAACUAGCAUAAUAGUAGUGUAGUAGCAGUGGUAUAAUUAUUUCUUUUAUUAUCAGUUUCACUAAAAUUUGAAAUUAUAAUUGGCAUUGUAAUAAAAUUGAUAAAACAAUAAAUGGGAGUAACUAUAUGAAAUUAUCUA